rnacentral:rRNA from 1 species
GAUGAACGCUAGCUACAGGCCUAACACAUGCAAGUCGAGCGACCGGCGCACGGGUGAGUAACAAGUACCCAACCUGCCCUUUACUCGGGGAUAGCUUUUCGAAAGAAAGAUUAAUACCCGAUAUAAAGGUUGGGGAUGCGUUCCAUUAGGUUGUUGGUGAGGUAACGGCUCACCAAGCCUUCGAUGGAUAGGGGUUCGGAGAGGAAGGACCCCCGCACUGGAACUGGGGCACGACCCCAACUGCUACGAGCGGUAGCGGUGAUGAAGAAUUGGCAAUAAGCGCUAGCCUGCACCAGCCAAGUAGCGUGAAGGGUUAAGGGUUAUGAAUCGUAAACUUCUUGUAUAGAAGAAUCUGUAUUAUAUGAAUAAGGAUCGGCUAACUACGUGCCAGCAGCCGCGGUAAUUC